UGGAUCGAUGGUGAUCCAUGCCAGCGUAUGGGUCAUCACUUAUGAAUAAUACAUGUCUGGAACUCUGAGGUCCAA
ensembl:snoRNA